AAAAAACCUUCAAGUGGUCCAUAGGCUUGCACGUAGAGUUAAAAUGUUUAACCUGGAUUAACGAUUCCAAUGGGACCACCAUUGCAAAUAUGUAGUAUGAACACUGUUGGAUUCGGGUGAAUUUAAAGGAUAACUCACCCUUUUUUGUGAUCACCUGAAGGCUAAAUUCUUCGAUGCGGGAUUCAAGAGCGCAAUUGCACUGUUCACUCGCUUUGGUCUGGGUUCUGAUUAUAAAAAAUGUAUAACGCUUCAUUUUUAGAGGUAUUCCCAUUAUCCUAUUGAACUGAUAGAAUUUGUAUGGCAUAAA